rnacentral:rRNA from 1 species
UACGUAGGGGGCAAGCGUUGUCCGGAUUUAUUGGGCGUAAAGAGCGUGUAGGCGGCCGUACAGGUCAGCUGUGAAAACUCGAGGCUCAACCUCGAGACGUCGGUUGAAACCGUACGGCUAGAGUCCGGAAGAGGAGAGUGGAAUUCCCGGUGUAGCGGUGAAAUGCGCAGAUAUCGGGAAGAACACCCGUGGCGAAGGCGGCUCUCUGGGACGGUACUGACGCUGAGGCACGAAGGCCAGGGGAGCAAACGGG